AGAUUGAACGCUGGCGGCAUGCCUAACACAUGCAAGUCGAACGGGAGUAGCAAUACUCUAGUGGCGGACGGGUGAGGAAUACGUAGGAAUUUGCCCUUAAGUGGGGGAUAACCCUGGGAAACCCGGAUUAAUACCGCAUGACCUCGAAAGAGCAAAGUGGGGGAUCGCAAGACCUCGACGCUUUUGGAGAAGCCUACGUCGGAUUAGCUA
rnacentral:rRNA from 1 species